CUGCGCCUUUCAUCCGUCCGUCUGCUCCAGCCUAGGGACGUCUGCGCUGGGAGCCCAGCUGCAUCAAGCCCUUCCUUGAAAAGUGAGGUCUUUUCGUGGACAACUGGCUCCAGAGCACUGCAAAAAGGAAGACUGAAGUUAGUCAUGGCAGGACGGGGGAGAUGCUCUGCCCAGCUGCCUUGGCUGAGGUGCAGCUUUUAGCUGAAAAACGCUGGCACGGGGCACUUGACUUUUUAAUGCCAAAGCAUACAAGUUAUCCUGCAAAGCCAUAGGAAGCUUUGGCUUUCACAUAAUUAUUCAAGCUUUCACAUAAUUAUUCAAGCAGAUUUUAGGCCACUGAGUACCAUGUGAUAGUUACCUGCAAUUUCUUGACCUUAUGAUUUUCUUCUGCUUAUGUAGCAAUUUAAGACACUGACAAAGCAUCCAAGUAGAUCCAGCCAAGUCAAUACAUGAAAAGCUCAAAUGUUCAAGCCAAUUUCUGUAUCCUUUCCUGAAAGUAUGUUUAUUUGCCUGACUAGUGGAAGUUUAAGGCAGUAAAACACUUGGGCAAAAUCCAUAAAAAUACUGAGGUGCCCAAGUUCCACUUUAAACUGAUCUUAGAUGUACAACAGCACUUGCCCUCUAAAAAGAAUCCACACUUCAUACCUAAUUUCAUCUCUUGAAUGACUGAAGUCCUACUGUUGUGCAAGUCCUCUAUUUUGGCUGACUCAAUCCAAUCCAGUUGACUCACUGUGGUUGGGCUAAAUACACAAUGGCAAUAUUGAAUGAACCCAUAAAACAAAUCACCCACCACCAUAUGACCUUUUAGGUUUCUUUGGUUUUCUGAGUCAUGGAAAAACUGCAAUAGAACAUCAGAGCUCUUCCAAGUAUCAUCCCACAGGCCAGAGUGGCUCACCAGCAGUACUGCCAGAUGUGUGCAUACCAUAGACGACAGUUUGUAGGAGAUGCCAAAAAAAAAAAAACACCGAGAAGGAGCCAGUGGAUGCCUCAGAUGGAGUGUGGUAUGACUGCAUUAGGAAGUGGUGAGGAAGAGCUCUGCAAGACUUCCUGUCUCUCAGUUCUAGGACAAGUGAGGUCAAGCAGGUAGAAGAUGCCAUGUGUCCAACUUUGGUUUACAGGGUGUGGCUGUAUCCGCUGACCAAUUACAUUUCACCAGUUUCACCUAAUGAAGGGAAGCCUGACAUCCCUAUAUGGCUGUGGUACUCCUGGAAUGCAGAGGCUGUCUCCACAUCCUUUGACACAAAUCUUUAGGCCAAUAUUUUUCUUUCAGGUUAUUUCAGAGAAGAUAAAAUUUUCAGCUCCCCCUCUCAAGCCAAACCUGUGACAAACUAUACAUUCAAGCAAGGAAAAGAAGUCUUAGAAAAAAUGCAGGUACUAUAUUAGUUGUAACAGCAGGACAAAGGGAACCAAGAAAUGCUCCCUCUUCUCAUUCACAGAUAUAUUCUUUCUCUGGAAGAAGUUGGCUAAACAACCUAAUCCACCAUUCUUCCUUCCCCUUUAACGAGAGAUGAUAGGAACAAGAAAGAUUUGAAAGAAGAAAAAUUUGUCCAAAACCAGCAGAUUUAGAUAUUCACUCUCUUCAUUCAAAACAAUUUAAUACCACAGUCCCCACUCCCAGAAAAUACCCUGACUACCUGAUAAUUGAGGAAGAAGUGGCAGGAAUGUCCUCCAUCUAUGCCACUAAAAAAAAGAAAGUGUGAAAAAAAAAAAAAACAAGAUAUCUGAAACAGAAGAAGUUAAGUGAGGUGGAAGGUGCCAAAAAAUAUGGACUAAUCCCGUAACUUUAUCACGGAAGUUUCAGUUGUGCCAUAUUCAACCACCAGAAUGCUUUCUAAGCACAUUUAUGCUGAAAAUAAAAUAUCAUAUAUAACACGUAUACCACAGUAUUCUUCAAGAUCACUUAUUAAUCUCUUAGAUUUUCAAAUUAUAUUUUCAGUCAAUUAUAUUGUAAUAAAUAACACCAUUUCACCUUUCCUCUGCAACAUGAAUUUGGGAACUGUGCUGUGAAAUGCAACACUGAUUUGGUAUGCAUUACAAUGCUGUACCUAGCCACCAGCAAAGAAAGAACUUUGGAAGGGAAAACAGACUCCCUCUGUUCUACUGCCUCAUUCAAGCUUUCCAGUCAAGGGAAGCCUAGAUGUUCAGGAGGCAUGCAUAUACUAUGAGAUUGCUGGUGUCUAGACAACAUGGAGAUGAGGAAGUAGCAGACAAUCUACAUGAGUAUUCCCAUGAUUUCUUCCAACAGUAGAACUAUGUAACACUCUUAAGAAGGCAGGAAUUCAGCAAUUUCUUGGGGAGAUUAAAUUUACUGCAGCUUUGAAAUAACAGGUUUACUGCACAUUCUGAACGGUUGAGUGUCUCUGCAGGACUGGAUAACAGCUAGCACAAGGGUCUCGGGGGAUUUUAUUGUAGUUAACCCAUCCUCCUGUUCUGUUCCUACUUUGCAUGCAGAAGAGAAUGUUUGUGCUUACUACAAUAUUUAUAGCUUCUUAGGACAGGAAGGCUAGCACAGGACCUUAUCAUGUAAAUUAGAAGCUGGAAGGAGCCUCAUUGCUGUUAUUCUGAGUCCUCAGCCUCAAAAAGAUUUGUUUAACCAACAAAUGACUGUGCAAAGGAAGACCCACA